rnacentral:ncRNA from 1 species
GUAGGUGCGCGGCGACGCAGCGGCCUGCCAUUCUCCUCUUGUCGUUGUUGCUCCGGGGCCCAAUGGGACCCCGGUUCUUUGGG